CUUAGACACAGGAAGCCAGGUGUUUGAAUUUGGAUGUGCUCAUGGCCUCUCUGCCAUCACUUGUAUGACUUUUGACCCUCAAGGAAGGCGAUUGGUGACAGGAGGCAGAGAUGGUUGUCUUAAAAUCUGGAACUUCAGUAAUGGCCAUUGCCUUCAGAUACUCAGAAGAGAUGGUGCCUGUGAUGAAAUAUGUGACUGCACCUACCUUAAAGUCCAC